AAUGAACGCUGGCGGCGUGGUUAAGACAUGCAAGUCGAACGGUUUUCCUGAUGUAGCAAUGCAUCGGGAAAGCAGUGGCGAACGGGUGCGUAACACGUGAACAAUUUACCUCCAAGUGGGGAAUAGCUCGCCGAAAGGCGAAUUAAUACCGCAUACGGUAAUUUCUCGCAUGAGGAAUUCACCAAAGUCAGGGACCGCAAGGCCUGACGCUAGGAGAGGAGUUCGCGGCCUACAGCUAGUUGGCGGGGUAACGGCUCACCAAGGCGAUGAUCGGUAGCCGGCCUGAGAGGGUGUCCGGCCACACUGGGACUGAGACACUGCCCAGACUCCUACGGGAGGCUGCAGUCGCGAAUCAUUCACAAUGGGCGCAAGCCUGAUGAUGCCACGCCGCGU
rnacentral:rRNA from 1 species